rnacentral:lncRNA from 1 species
CAGGAUCUGAGAGCCCGGACUGGAGGUGAGUUCGCAGCCCGAGCGUUGCAGCACUUGUUUCCUCAGUGGAUGCUUUUCGGCGUGCAGCCGCCCGGCGCCGCGGGACUGGGAGACCGGGAGUUGAGAAGAGGAGGAAGAAUAAUGGGAGGAGACAGGACCUUUUUCAACUUGACAAAUAGGAAAAUUCACCAGUAAAUGUGUUGAAAAUGCCUCUAAUGAUAUUGGCCUCUAUUUAUUGAUCAUAUAUGCCAGACACUGUGCUGCAAUGAGAAAUGUAACUCAUUUCUUACAAC